rnacentral:rRNA from 1 species
UACGUAGGGGGCAAGCGUUGUCCGGAAUUAUUGGGCGUAAAGAGCUCGUAGGCGGUCUGUCGCGUCGGCUGUGAAAUCCCGAGGCUCAACCUCGGGUCUGCAGUCGAUACGGGCAAACUAGAGUAUUGCAGGGGAGACUGGAAUUCCUGGUGUAGCGGUGAAAUGCGCAGAUAUCAGGAGGAACACCGGUGGCGAAGGCGGGUCUCUGGGCAAUAACUGACGCUGAGGAGCAGAA